GCCUGGGUGGCUUGGUCGGUUAAGCGUCUGACUUCGGCUCAGGUCAUGAUCUCACGGUCUGUGAGUUCGAGCCCCGCAUCGGGCU
rnacentral:tRNA from 1 species